rnacentral:rRNA from 1 species
UAGGGAAUCUUCCACAAUGGACGCAAGUCUGAUGGAGCAACGCCGCGUGAGUGAAGAAGGUCUUAGGAUCGUAAAGCUCUGUUGUUGGUGAAGAAGGAUAGAGGCAGUAACUGGUCUUUAUUUGACGGUAAUCAACCAGAAAGUCACGGCUAACUACGUGCCAGCAGCCGCGGUAAUACGUAGGUGGCAAGCGUUGUCCGGAUUUAUUGGGCGUAAAGCGAGCGCAGGCGGAAUGAUAAGUCCGAUGUGAAAGCCCACGGCUCAACCGUGGAACUGCAUCGGAAACUGUCAUUCUUGAGUGCAGAAGAGGAGAGUGGAACUCCAUGUGUAGCGGUGGAAUGCGUAGAUAUAUGGAAGAACACCAGUGGCGAAGGCGGCUCUCUGGUCUGCAACUGACGCUGAGGCUCGAAAGCAUGGGUAGCGAACAGGAUUAGAUACCCUGGUAGUCCAUGCC